rnacentral:rRNA from 1 species
GAUGAACGCUGGCGGCAUGCCUAAUACAUGCAAGUCGAACGAGAGGAAGGAAAGCUCGCUUUUCUGAAUCUAGUGGCGAACGGGUGAGUAACACGUAGGUAACCUGCCCAUGUGCCCGGGAUAACUUCUGGAAACGGAUGCUAAAACCGGAUAGGUAGCAGACAAGCAUUUGACUGCUAUUAAAGUGGCUAAGGCCAUGAACAUGGAUGGACCUGCGGUGCAUUAGCUAGUUGGUGAGGUAACGGCCCACCAAGGCGACGAUGCAUAGCCGGCCUGCGAGGGCGGACGGCCACAUUGGGACUGAGACACGGCCCAAACUCCUACGGGAGGCAGCAGUAGGGAACUUUCGUCAAUGGGGGGAACCCUGAACGAGCAAUGCCGCGUGAGUGAGGAAGGUCUUCGGAUCGUAAAGCUCUGUUGUAAGAGAAAAACGACAUUCAUAGGGAAUGAUGAGUGAGUGAUGGUAUCUUACCAGAAAGUCACGGCUAACUACGUGCCAGCCGCCGCAGUAAAAC